CGGGUGAGUAACGCGUGAGGAACCUGCCUCAAAGAGGGGGACAACAGUUGGAAACGACUGCUAAUACCGCAUAAGCCCACAGGUCGGCAUCGACCAGAGGGAAAAGGAGCAAUCCGCUUUGAGAUGGCCUCGCGUCCGAUUAGCUAGUUGGUGAGGUAAUAGCCCACCAAGGCAACGAUCGGUAGCCGGACUGAGAGGUUGAACGGCCACAUUGGGACUGAGACACGGCCCAG
rnacentral:rRNA from 1 species